rnacentral:rRNA from 1 species
UAGGGAAUCUUCGGCAAUGGACGAAAGUCUGACCGAGCAACGCCGCGUGAGUGAAGAAGGUUUUCGGAUCGUAAAACUCUGUUGUUAGAGAAGAACGUUGCAUAGAGUGGAAAAUUAUGCAAGUGACGGUAUCUAACCAGAAAGGGACGGCUAACUACGUGCCAGCAGCCGCGGUAAUACGUAGGUCCCGAGCGUUGUCCGGAUUUAUUGGGCGUAAAGCGAGCGAAGGUGGUUUAAUAAGGCUGAGUGAAAAGGCAGUGGCGCAACCA